UUAGCAGAUUAUCGAUUCGCCGACAACGAUUCGCCAAACAUCGUUUCGCAGAGUGAUUUAUUUGUAAAUGUAACUUUUGGUCGAGUAACGUUACGCAGACUCUUGGUUCACAUACAGUUCAGUUCGCUUCUGUGUAAAUUAGCAGGACUAUUAUUGGACGAUUUCCAUUUGGCAGAGUAAUCGUUUCGUUUAAGCAAUGUUUAGUCGAAUAACGUUUCACAUUUUACAUAUUGUCGCAACAAAAA